rnacentral:tRNA from 1 species
GGGAAGGUGGCUCAGUGGUAGAGCGUUUGCCUUGCAUGCAUAAGGCCCUGGUUCUAUUCCU